CCUGAACGGACCAAACCUACAUGCUGUGUUCAGCAACAACAUCCCCUGCAGCCACCAUGAUCAAAAGAGAGGCUGAAGGGGAUGCUAAAGGAGACAAAACCAAGAUGAAGGAUGAGCCACAGAGAAGAUCUGCAAGGUUGUCUGCUAAACCUGCUCCUCCAAAGCCAGAGCCCAAACCUACAAGGGCCCCUGCGAAGAAGAGAGAGAAGGUAACCAAGGGGAAGAAGGGGAAAGCCAACGCUGGUAAGGAUGGGAAUAAUCCUGCAGAAAAUGGAGAUGCCAAAACAGACCAGGCACAGAAAGCUGAAAGUGCUGGAGAUGCCAAGUGACCUGUGUACAUUUUUGAUAACUGUGUACUUCUGGUGACUGUACAGUUUGAAAUACUAUUUUUUAUCAAGUUUUAUAAAAAUGCAGAAUUAUGUUUUACUU